UACGAAGGGGGCUAGCGUUGUUCGGAUUUACUGGGCGUAAAGCGCACGUAGGCGGAUCGUUAAGUCGGGGGUGAAAUCCUGGAGCUCAACUCCAGAACUGCCUUCGAUACUGGCGAUCUUGAGUCCGGAAGAGGUGAGUGGAACUCCUAGUGUAGAGGUGGAAUUCGUAGAUAUUUAGGAAGAAACACCAGUGGCGAAGGCGGCUCACUGGUCCGGUACUGACGCUGAGGUGCGAAAGCGUGGGGAGCAAACAGG
rnacentral:rRNA from 1 species